rnacentral:rRNA from 1 species
AAGGAUCAUUACCGAGUGUAGGGUUCCUAGCGAGCCCAACCUCCCACCCGUGUUUACUGUACCUUAGUUGCUUCGGCGGGCCCGCCAUUCAUGGCCGCCGGGGGCUCUCAGCCCCGGGCCCGCGCCCGCCGGAGACACCACGAACUCUGUCUGAUCUAGUGAAGUCUGAGUUGAUUGAAUCGCAAUCAGUUAAAACUUUCAACAAUGGAUCUCUUGGUUCCGGCAUCGAUGAAGAACGCAGCGAAAUGCGAUAACUAGUGUGAAUUGCAGAAUUCCGUGAAUCAUCGAGUCUUUGAACGCACAUUGCGCCCCCUGGUAUUCCGGGGGGCAUGCCUGUCCGAGCGUCAUUGCUGCCCAUCAAGCACGGCUUGUGUGUUGGGUCGUCGUCCCCUCUCCGGGGGGGACGGGCCCCAAAGGCAGCGGCGGCACCGCGUCCGAUCCUCGAGCGUAUGGGGCUUUGUCACCCGCUCUGUAGGCCCGGCCGGCGCUUGCCGAACGCAAAUCAAUCUUUUUCCAGGUUGACCUCGGAUCAGGUAGGGAUACCCGCUGAACCUUGGAUCAGGUAGGGAUACCCGCUGAACUUAAGCAUAUCAAUAAGCG